rnacentral:rRNA from 1 species
CUCGCUGAACUUAAGCAUAUCAAUAAGCGGAGGAAAAGAAACCAACAGGGAUUGCCUCAGUAACGGCGAGUGAAGCGGCAACAGCUCAAAUUUGAAAUCUGGCUUCUCGGAGCCCGAGUUGUAAUUUGUAGAGGAUGUUUCGGGUACCGCUCCGGCUUAAUUUUCUUGGAACAGAAUGUCACAGAGGGUGAGAAUCCCGUCUGGAGCCGCGGUAGGGCCUAUGUGAAACUCCUUCGACGAGUCGAGUUGUUUGGGAAUGCAGCUCAAAAUGGGUGGUAAAUUUCAUCUAAAGCUAAAUAUUGGCCAGAGACCGAUAGCGCACAAGUAGAAUGAUCGAAAGAUGAAAAGCACUUUGAAAAGAGAGUUAAACAGUAUGUGAAAUUGUUGAAAGGGAAGCGCUGGCAGCCAGACUUGCGUGUAGGGGUUCCCCCUCGCUUCUGCGUGGGUUACUCCCCUAUAUCCAGGCCAACAUCGGUUUUGGCGGUCGGUCAAAGGCCUUGGGAAUGUACCUUCCCCCGGGAAGACUUAUAGCCCAGGGUGUCAUGCGGCCUGCCGGGACCGAGGAACGCGCUUCGGCUCGGAUGUUGGCGUAAUGGUUGUCAGCGACCCGUCUUGAAACACGG